ensembl:lncRNA
AAUAAAUCCUUCCCUCUUUCUUCACAGGAUGGCGAUUUCAGAAAUGUAUUGAAUGCCUGUGCCGAGUCAUCAGAGACCUGAAAGACGGUUCAAUGUUUCAAGAUGAAUUUUAGCCCGAGGUCAAUAUCCCUUGUAUUUGGGAUAUGUUGAAACACGUCCCUCUUAAGAUGCUGUGAGGUGGAUCAGACCAGGUGCCACGGUUCCUCUGCUGUUUCCUCUGCUCAGUGGGAUGAGGUAGUAGGUUGGAUAGUUUUAGGGUUACACCUACACUGGGAGAUAACUGUAUAACCUACUGUCUUUCUCAAUGUGUCAACCACCAAGGAUACUAUAGUCAAUCUCCUCUUAUGGUCAUUGUAAAAGAUAAUAUACUGAACACAUUUGCUGCGGUGUUUUGAGAAUGAACAGGAAGAAAUCAAUAAAAGACAAUCAUUUCAUAAUGUACAUCUGCUGAGGCGUUGUGAGGUAGUAGAUUGCAUUGUUGUGGGGUAGUGAUUUUACCCUGAUCAGAAGAUAACUGUACAAUCUAUUGCCUUCCCUGACCAGCAGAACAACUACUCUCAGGCAGGCAUGUUUUUCUGUUCUCUGUUAUGACCAUAGCCUCCAUUCAUAUCCACACUAGAACAACCUUUCAGAAUCUCUAGAGUUGUCUAUCUUGGUUAGCGUACUUGCCUCUGUGUCAAGGGACCCUGGUUGGAACAUGUAUCAUUGAUAAAUGUAUAGAGUUCUGUGGUGUGGUUAUCAUUCUGUCAAGGCCCUCUCUCAAAACCAACUACCUGCUGUACUAGCUGAGACUAUACUGUACUAGGGGCUGACUAGCUGAGGCUAUACUGUACUAGGGGCUGACUAGCUGAGACUAUACUGUACUAGGGGCUGACUAGCUGAGGCUAUACUGUACUAGGGGCUGACUAGCUGAGGCUAUACUGUACUAGGGGCUGACUAGCUGAGGCUAUACUGUACUAGGGGCUGACUAGCUGAGGCUAUACUGUACUAGGGGCUGUCUAGCUGAGGCUAUACUGUACUAGGGGCUGUCUAGCUGAGGCUAUACUGUACUAGGGGCUGUCUAGCUGAGGCUAUACUGUACUGGGGCUGUCUAGCUGAGGCUAUACUGUACUGGGGGCUGUCUAGCUGAGGCUAUACUGUACUACGGGCUGACUAGCUGAGGCUAUACUGUACUAGGGGCUGACUAGCUGAGGCUAUACUGUACUAGGGGCUGACUAGCUGAGGCUAUACUGUACUAGGGGCUGACUAGCUGAGGCUAUACUGUACUACCUGCUCCAGAGCACUCAGGACUUCAGAAUGGGGUGAUGGUUCACUUUCCAACAGUACAAUGAUCCUAAGCACACAGCCAAGAUCACGCAGGAGUGGCUUCGGGACAAGUCUCUGAAUGUCCUUGAGUGGCCUAGCCAGAGCCCGGACUUGAACCCGAUCGAACAUCUCUGGAGAGACCUGAAAAUAGCUGUGCAGUGACGCUCCCCAUCCAACCUGACAGAGCUUGAGAGGAACUGCAGAGAAGAAUGUGAGAAACUACCCAAAUACAGGUAUGCCAAGUUUGUAGCGUCAUACCCAAG